rnacentral:rRNA from 1 species
GGUUAAGCGACUAAGCGUACACGGUGGAUGCCCUGGCAGUCAGAGGCGAUGAAGGGCGUGCUAAUCUGCGAUAAGCGCCGGUAAGGUGAUAUGAACCGUUAUAACCGGCGAUACCCGAAUGGGGAAACCCAGUGUGAUUCGUCACACUAUCAUUAACUGAAUCCAUAGGUUAAUGAGGCGAACCGGGGGAACUGAAACAUCUAAGUACCCCGAGGAAAAGAAAUCAACCGAGAUUCCCCCAGUAGCGGCGAGCGAACGGGGAGGAGCCCAGAGCCUGAAUCAGCAUGUGUGUUAGUGGAAGCGUCUGGAAAGGCGCGCGAUACAGGGUGACAGCCCCGUACACAAAAGCGCAUGUGCUGUGAGCUCGAUGAGUAGGGCGGGACACGUGGUAUCCUGUCUGAAUAUGGGGGGACCAUCCUCCAAGGCUAAAUACUCCUGACUGACCGAUAGUGAACCAGUACCGUGAGGGAAAGGCGAAAA